rnacentral:lncRNA from 1 species
AAGGUCAAAUGCCUUUAUAAUGAACUUAAUUGAAGUUAUAAUCAAAUAAGCUCAUAUCAAGACAUUUCAGGGGCACUAACUCCCAUAAGAUGCCAUUAAAUUGUAUAAGACUAAACGUAGCAUAUCUUCAUUGCAAUAAAGCAGACAUUUUGCACUUGUUCUUUUAUAUGUAUCUUUCAAAGUGUCGGAGAAAAUGCAAAAACAAGCAAAAGUCACAAUUGAGAAUUUGACCUUGACCUUUGACCUUGACCUCAUUUUCUAAGUUAGGACCUAGGGGACUCAAAUAAAAACAUUCCAGGGUUAUACGGUUAACGGUUUAUGAGUUAAAAAAACAUACCGACAAAUUUAUUCCGUAAAGGUAGAUAACUCCUAUAAAAUUUCAUCGAAUCGCUUCGAUCCAAAUUAGCCAAAAAUUUUCUGAGGAUGUAACGAACAAUUUGUAAAAAGAAUUUUGUCGCUAUCUUUUUUUGUUACGAAGGAGAUGCACACACAUGAUAAACAGUGAAUAGGGAGAUAACUCUUACAAGAAAAAUGGUUCGUCUUAGCAGGGUGAAAUUUAAAAGCGCAUAAACUAUACGAUACAAUAUGAGAAAUAUCUAAGCGACAUAUUGCGAAACAAACAUUUAUCGCAAGAACAAAAUUUGGCGGAAAAAAAAAAAAAAUAAUAAUAAUAAUAAUAAAGCAAUUGUUUUGAAAACAAUUGUUAGGCAGUCUUUCCCCUCUGAUGAAUGGAUAAUUGAUUUUUUUUUAUUGAUUGAUUUGGAAAAAAGGGGGGGGGGGUAUUUGUUUUUUUGUUUGUUUGCUUGUUAAAGGGGUCUAUAUUAUUAUGUUACCGGAGAAGUUUCAUGUUUAGUUUGGAAAGUUUUUCUUUUAUUUUAGAUACAGCGCGCGCGCAAGAUUGAGGAGACAUCACGUGACGCGGGUUUAUAUUAAGAAAAACUUAGUCUUUUUAUUUCUUUUUAGGUCGGGACGUUUGAACAGACAACAUGUAUAGAGAUGGAAUGUACACAAUGUAAUUUCUUUUGUCAUUGUAGGAAAUUGACAUUUUGAUCACAGUUCACCAGCAGUGCAUGUUUUGGAUUUAAUCGAUCCGGUGUAACUUUAAAACACAUUUAAUGAUUAUUUUUUGAUAAUGUCCAUUUUUCAGCACCUGUUUGUAACACAGAUUAGUAUUUCAAUCUCGGAGCGGACAUUUUAUUGUAGGUUUUUACUGAGAUUGACGGACCUAGCAAGCGAUUUUUACGGCAUUGCCAUUUCUUUUUUCUAGGAAAAGUCUUGAGAGAUAUCUGCAAAAAGUUUUUUUAUGAACCUUCAGUACAUGUAUGCCCUGCUGACUGCAAAUUUUCAGGUCGAUUGGACUUGUAGUUUCAGAGAAUAUGUGGAUUUUUUUUCAGAAGAGACGUAAGAACAAUAAUAAAAUAAAAAUUUUCUUGAAUAAUUGAGAGUUUGUUCCUUCAAUAAACUGUCAUAAAUAAACAGUCAUACAUAUUGAUUGAUUGAUUAGUUGGUUGAUUGAUUGGUUGGUUGGUUGGUUGGUUGGUUUGUUGGUUGGUUGAUUAAACACGUUUGAUAGGGUCACUUAGAACAAGGGAAAAAAACCUCAAGAGACCUUGCAUCCCGUAUUAAACGCAUGACACGGAAACAUACAUUAAGUGAUUGAUUGGUUGGUUGGUUGGUUAAACACGUUGGUUAAACAUGUUGGUUUAACACGUUGGUUAAACACGUUGGCUGGUUAAACACGUUUGAUAGGCUCAAUUUAAACAAGCGAAAAAAAACCAUCUUGGAUCCCGUAUUUAACACAUGAAACGGAAACAUGCAUUGAUUUAUUUAUUGGUUGGUUGGUUGGUUGGUUAAACACGUUGGUUAAACAUGUUGGUUAAACAUGUUGGUUAAACACGUAGUUUAAACACGUUGGCUGGUUAAACACGUUUGAUAGGCUCAAUUUUAACAAGCGAAAAAAAACCAUCUUGGAUCCCGUAUUUAACACAUGAAACGGAAACAUGCAUUGAUUGAUUGAUUGGUUGGUUGGUUGGUUGGUUGGUUGGUUGGUUGGUUGGUUAAACACGUUGGUUAAACACACGUUGGUUAAAACACGUUGGCUGGUUAAACAGAUUGGAUAGGCUCAAAAUCUUGGAUCCCGUAUUUAACACAUGAAACGGAAACAUGCAUUGAUUGAUUGAUUGAUUGAUUGGUUGGUUGGUUGGUUGGUUAAACACGUUGGUUAAACAUGUUGGUUAAACACGUUGGUUAAACAUAUUGGUUAAACACGUUGGCUGGUUAAACACGUUAGAUAGGCUCAAUUUAAACAAGCGAAAAAAAAAAACAUCUUGGAUCCCGUAUUUAACACAUGAAACGGAAACAUGCAUUGAUUGAUUGAUUGAUUGGUUGGGUUGGUUGGUUGGUUAAACAUGUUGGUUAAACAUGUUGGUUAAAACACGUUGGUUAAACACGUUGUAGAUAGGCUCAAUUUAAACGAGCGAAAAAAAAACAUCUUGGAUCC